rnacentral:rRNA from 1 species
GCUCAGUAACACGUGGAUAACCUACCCUUAGGACUGGGAUAACCCUGGGAAACUGGGGAUAAUACCGGAUAGGCAAUUUUUCCUGGAAUGGUUUUUUGUUUAAAUGUUUUUUCGCCUAAGGAUGGGUCUGCGGCCGAUUAGGUAGUUGGUUAGGUAAUGGCUUACCAAGCCGUUGAUCGGUACGGGUUGUGAGAGCAAGAGCCCGGAGAUGGAACCUGAGACAAGGUUCCAGGCCCUACGGGGUGCAGCAGGCGCGAAACCUCCGCAAUGUGAGAAGUCGCGACGGGGGGAUCCCAAGUGCCAUUCUUAACGGGAUGGCUUUUCAUUAGUGUAAAAAGCUUUUGGAAUAAGAGCUGGGCGAGACCGGUGCCAGCCGCCGCGGUAACACCGGCAGCUCUAGUGGUAGCAAUUUUUAUUGGGCCUAAAGCGUCCGUAGCCGGUUUAAUAAGUCUCUGGUGAAAUCCUGCAGCUUAACUGUGGGAAUUGCUGGAGAUACUAUUAGACUUGAGACCGGGAGAGGUUAGAGGUACUCCCAGGGUAGAGGUGAAAUUCUGUAAUCCUGGGAGGACCGCCUGUUGCGAAGGCGUCUAACUGGAACGGUUCUGACGGUGAGGGACGAAAGUUAGGGGCGCGAACCGGAUUAGAUACCCGGGUAGUCCUAACUGUAAACGAUGCGGACUUGGUGUUGGGGUGGCUUUGAGCUGCUCCAGUGCCGAAGGGAAGCUGUUAAGUCCGCCGCCUGGGAAGUACGGUCGCAAGACUGAAACUUAAAGGAAUUGGCGGGGGAAUC